CGGGUGCUGGUGUGCGUGCCUGUGUGUGUGACUGGUCCAACAGGUUCCACGGAGAUUCUUCUCCAGUACCGCUCCCUCUGGCCCGAAGACUGGCAUGCAGCAUUUCUCGUUCUCGGUCUCGUUUUGCACAUUUUUGAAUUUUAUUUUAAUUUCUUUUUAUUAUAUUUUAGCUGCCAGGCUGCCCCUUUUCAGUGGGGGCCCCCCUUUUCUGGUACUUCGCUUCGGGUUUCUUCUGCUUCGAGUUUGGAGUUUGUGUGCAACUUUGGGCUCGCUGGCUUUUCAUUCACCAAAAACUGGUUCGACGUUUAAGUUCUUCACUUGGCUUAGACGGGGGUUUUCAAGGAAGUUCUUCGAUCCCACACCCCUCUCGUUCGCUGUGGAAUGUGUGAAGUCAUCGAGCUGGGGGCAGAGAUUUGAAUGCCAGCCUCGUCUUCUUACACUUUAAAAGACCUGGGCGGCACUUGCAGUAACAGGGUCUUGAAAAUUCCAUGCCCCCGCACACAGUCGCACAUGCUGCGCGCACAGAUACUCUCACUUACACAGAUACGCACGCACACACCUGCCGCCCCUCGAGGGCUGCUCGUUUUUCCAUCGAAUCUGAGAAUCAGUCAAACGAAACAGACAUCGAUAGCACUUCAUCAUGUAACAAUCAUUGCAGGGGCACUACACUGCGAGAAAAGCCACGCAUGACCCUCGACACAGUCAACCUCAAUCGCAUUCCGAUUUGUGGCAAUUAUUUUGGGAAAUCAAAAAUUAUAAGAUAUUGGAUUUUUGUGCCUGAUUUGCCACAUUGUGAUGUGUGAGCCAACCCCCUGCCGCCACCCACCACCAACCAUCCCUCACAUCCAUCCCCUUGACCCUGGGCAAGGGUGCCAGCCCAGUUACUUGUGUCAAAAAGUUCUCCUGAUGCUCGUUCGUCGGUUCAGCUCGCUCGUGUUUCCCCCUUGACCCUUCUGCCUGACAGCUACUUGUCAAUGGCCGUGAUGAGUGUGUGCCCCCUCGCCACCCACUGUACCCCCCCUUAACCCACCACCUGCAACCUUAAGCGUACACUGGGAAACAUGAUCUUAAUGGUUAAAGAUGCUUUUUAAUGAAAGUUGUAACCUUUUUAUAUUUCUCAUUAAGAUCACAUAAGGUAUACAUGUUUAUAAAAUUUUCUUUAUUUAAUCCUGCAUUAUAGAGUAAUAGUGUACCGCCACUAAGAGAUGCAGAACGUUAAAAAGAUUUUAUUGGCAGUUCCAAUUAGAAGUAUUUUUUCUCAGUGCAUAAUCCUCUAUGCAGGUGCUAGUAGCUCGGAUGGAACAACUUUGGGCCAGAGUCUGUCAGUGGCAGGGAUAUUUCCAGGGCAACUGGAACGGGCACAGUGGAUCUGCCUUUGGGGGGACCGGUGGAUCCCCCUUUUUGGGGUGGGGAUGAAGCAGGCGAAGGUGCAGGGGGUGGCCAGCGAGCAUCGAGAACGUGUCAUUGACAGAUUUCAACGCAAUUGCGUAUGAAUGAAAUCGAUUUUUUUGUUGCCUUUGUUCUUGCUCUUGAUGAUUGGGUCUAGGUUGCGGAUACCUCCAGUCCACGAGGAUGAUGAUGAUGAUUGUUGUGAUGAUAGUAAUGGCAAUGGCUUUGAAUGAAAGCACGGGUGUCAGUAAUAUAAGUUCGUCGUUGAUGUCAGCAUGGGGUAAUAAGUGGAGUUUUUAACGAAAAUAACUUUUCAUUGUUAUAAAAUUAAUAUUAAAUGUUGAGCAAUUGAA